GAUGGGCGUCACCUGGGCACCGUCGGAUGCACAGCUGCCUGUGUCAUUUUUGUGAUUUGCAGCUAGUAGUCUGAGUCCAGUUGCAUAGUCACAAAAGUGAUCAUUGGCAGCUGUGGCUGCUGCAUGGAG
rnacentral:miRNA from 1 species